AUUGAACGCUGGCGGCAGGCCUAACACAUGCAAGUCGAGCGAGCGGCGGACGGGUGAGUAAUGUCUGGGAAACUGCCUGAUGGAGGGGGAUAACUACUGGAAACGGUAGCUAAUACCGCAUACCAUCAGAUGUGCCCAGGUGGGAUUAGCUAGUAGGUUGGGUAAUGGCGCACAUAGGAGACGAUCCCUAGCUGGUCUGAGAGGAUGACAAGCCACACUGGAACUGAGACACGGUCCAGACUCCUACGGGAGGCAGCAGUGGGGAAUAUUGCACAAUGGGCGCAAGCCUGAUGGAGCCAUGCCGCGUGUAUGAAGAAGGCCUUCGGGUUGUAAAGUACUUUCAGCGAGGAGGCGUUACUCGCAGAAGAAGCACCGGCUAACUCCGUGCCAGCCGCCGCGGUAAUAC
rnacentral:rRNA from 1 species